rnacentral:lncRNA from 1 species
UCUUUGGCCCUUGUUAAUGAUAGCCAAUCUUUAUCCUAGAUAACAGAAAAUCAAAUGAAAUUAAUACCUUCUUGAUCCAAAUGAUUUGAUCUUAAAAUAGACCUUUCUUUUUCACCAAAACUUACCUUUUCUAGGAAUAAUGGUUUGACUUUGGUCCCUCCUUGGACAUGUGCACCUCAGCUUAUGCAAAAAGCAAAAGUUGAGGGUGGCUAAUUCAGAAAAAAAACCUUGUCGUUGCCCUGACCCAACUCUGGGUAUUGUGUACCUUGACUCAGAGCAAAGCCAUGAGUUGAGGGUGGCUAUUAUGAGGAAUGCUCCAGAAUGUGGGGUUUAAGGAAUAAAGUUAGAGAAAGAACAAAAGAAAAGUGACUCAAGAAAAGUUGAAAGCGAUGUGAAAUAUGUGAAAAUUUUGAAAAUAAAAGUGAGAAAAGAGAAGAGUCACUUAGACAAAAAGAGAGAGAAGGGAGAAUAGCAAGAUGAAAGAAUACAAGAAAAUUAAGAAAUAGGGCAAAAUAAAAUGAUAAAAAGGUAGGACACUUAGCCGUUAUGUUAAGAAGGGUAAAAAGUCACUAAAAGAUAUCCAAAUGUACCCUACCUGAUCCUUAGCCUAAGUUACAAUCUAUGAAAGUCCUAUCAUGAUCAAAAGAUUCUAUUAUGGUGAACUUGAAGCAGUGAAAAUAAGGGCAAGCCUAUGACAAUAAGUAUAAAUCAUUUGUCAAGUUGUUCUGAGAGCGUGUGUUGAAAAAUAAUCCUUUUACUCAAACUGAAAUCAUUGUGUGAAAAAUGAGGAUGUUGUUUUGAAGUAAGGAAACUAGUUGCAAUACCAUAAAAUUGGUACCUUAGUGAGAGAUCAAAGAGGUUAGGUGUCGGUGUGUUGUGAGUUUGUAUCAUGGCUUGAUCCACAUGAGCAAUCCUAAUAGUGAUAGCAUGCAUAAAAAUAUAACAAAAAUAAUCAAAAUUGAUAGCCAGAUGAUUGCGAAAGAUAAAAUAAGGAUACUCUUGUACAAAGAUUUUGUGGUGAGUCAUAGUGCAUCCCUUGAGGACAAACAACGAAUUUAAGUUGUGGGUGUUAAUAUACCAUGGUUUCACGGUACAUUCAAUGCUUUAUAUUUAAAUUUAAUGUGUGUAUAAGGCCUUUUAAUAUUAGUUUGAAUAAAUUUUUCUCUUUUUUUUAUAGGAAAUCUUUCCAGGAUGAAAAGAUGGAAGAAUUGUGCUGAAAUUGAAAAAGUGACGACCUACGGAGCCAUCGACGGUCCGUCGACCCCUCGAUUGUUCGUAGGUGGUCUCCAUUGUAAAAAGUAAAUGGUUUGAAAGGAAUAUAGGGGAAUUCUGACUAAUUUUAGGGCUAUGAAAACUGUCGACAGACCAUCACCCCCAAGAGAGACCGUCCUGCACAUCUUUCAUCAUUGAAAGAAAGUAGCUCCAGUACCUAAUUUGAAAAGAUUCUAUGUGUGGAUAAACGAAAGCCAUCGACGGGGCAUCGUACUCUCAAUGGACCUUCAUCCAUGUCCGUCGAUGGUUACAGUGAGUUGGAGAAUAAAGAAGCUUAAAAAGAAGCUUAGUGUGGAACGAUGGAGGGUCCUCGACGUUACGUUCCUUCGGUCGUCGACUCUUACGCAUUUUCUAGGAAGAUUUUUCUUAAAUAGAUUUCGUUUUGAUGUUAGGACUUCUUUAUUAUAAAUAAUAAUAAAAGCCUCGUUUUAAAGUUUGAUUCUUGGUAAUUUUUCAGUUUUUAUCGUUUUAGUUUUUGAACUUGUGAUUUUGAGAAAUUAUUCUAUUUUUCAUAAAUCGUUUGAUGGAAGAGUAUUGAUUAAUUCAAGUAAUUUUCUAAAUUUUCUUCAAUCUCACAAAAGUAAAAACAUGAAUUCUUAUCAAACUAAUAUUUAUUUUGUUAUUAUUAACAUGGGUAACUAAAUGCAUAGCUAGGGUUGUGGGAACCAUGUGUAAUUAACAAGGUAAAAACUAUCUAAAAAACUAAUCGUAGAAUAGUGUCUUGCAUGUAUUAAUAAUUCUUUUAUUAAAGACAUUUUAACGAGUGCACGCGUUAGAAAUAUCGUUGUGCUACUUGCCGGACCAAGGUGGUAGAUAAUAAAAAAAGAAUCACCAACGUUUAUUUGGUAUACACUAUCUAAUAGGCUAGGGUCGAUUGGUGCAAAGUAACAACUAAGACAUACAUUGAUUAUGAUGCUUAAUAUGAGGUAAAGGUAAUGUUUUGUAAUGAAAACACACAUAACCGGACAAAGGUGCGGAAUGACAUCUCCUAGUUGCCGAACCAAGGAAUUGGCGAUACACAACUUACCACCUUGCAUGCGAGAUACUAGGAAAUGAUAGUUAUAGCUAGAAUUACCACGUUUUUAACCUAUGGGGAACACUUAAGCCCUAUUUACAUUAAUUAAUUCAUAAAAAUCAAAUCAUUGAGAUUGUCAUUUGCUUACUUAGACAUAGAUAAUUACAUUAGUUACAUAAAACCCCCUCUUUGUUACUUGUUUUCGGAAAGGACUUGACUAAAUAGAAGUAAUAAUAGGGUAAAGUUAAGUCUAAGUCAUUUUCCUCAUGGGAUUGACCCAAAACUUAUAGUUGAGUUCGUUACUUGAUAGGACCACUUAUACUUCUUUUCGAGAAGUAAAUUUGAGCGUAUCAACACCUAGAUGAGACUGGCGUCAUCUUCCUCUCGUAGGACUCAAACAAGUCCUUAGCAUUUGUCAUAACAUGUGAUCAGUAAAAAUUGCGGAAAAUUAAAAAUUUUACAUUCUAGUUGAAGUAUACUUAGACUUCAUACGUAAUAUUCAUAAAGUCAUACGAUAUUCUAAAAAUCUGUGUCACAUAUAUAAAACCAUCUAAAGAGUGCAAAUCUAGACUUAGCUAAUAUAUAGACAAUAUGCCAUAUAGGCCUUAUACAAAAGAAUCAAAAGAAGCAUAAUUGGAAUUAGGAUGUUCUCAAGACUACUAAGUCUUCAUAAGCUGGAAUAUGAUAGAUAGCAUCCCCGAACAUCAGGACCUACCAAGACAUGGAGAAAGAGAUCUUAGCUUCUUCAAAUCGACCUUCUUAAGCCUCAAUGGGCCGAACCUACAGUUAUAGUAAUAUAAAGUAAUGGGGUUAGUAUGCCACACGUGCUAAGUAUGGGUAUUUGCACAUAACAUUUAAGGACAUUCAUGAAAAAGGAUCAUUUAUUAUCUCUUUUAAAAAACAUGCUAUGUCAUAUUGAAGGCUUUAAUGCACAUACCAUAUAUCUUAUACAAGUUAAGGAUUCCAUCAACUUAAAGUAUGAUCAUAUUCAAUGACAUAUUAUCAUAGAGUCAUGCUAACAUUUCAUAUUUAAUAGAUCAUAUAAACAUAACAUACAACACAAUUAUCAAUGAUGAUAUCCCCAACCUACAAGUACAAUGGCCAUGUGAAGCCCCAUAACCCCACACCACCAAGUAGAUAAGAUAGGAAACCAUAAGUAAAGUUUUUCUUCAUAUCACUUGUAACAUAAGUAGUCAUCACUUCAUAUAACAAUAUAACCCAAUAGCAUAUUCAUCAUAAUGACCAACAUCGUAUAAGAUUAAAAUCAUGUAUUAUAAACAUAUAUCUUUCAUGUUAUCAUAUUACAUAAGAACAAUCUCCUAGGAUUUCCCUUAAAGUCAACUUGUGCAAUGUAAAGUUAGAGUCCCAUACACCUACCUAUACUAAAUAGAAUCCUCAAGUCACCCUAGUCAACAUUCAUUUACUUGUCUUUAAUUUUAAUAUGAGGCAACAUUCACCUUAACCGACAUAGACCAUGUGAGAUAAACAUGGAAUCUGGUGUCAUAAAACCCCACAUUGAAAGAAAGUGGUCUACCUUCCAAAGUACAAACUAACAUAACAUAGAUUUCUAAGUGGAUCCACUAACUAGUAUCUUAUGGUGGUACCAUAGUUCAAGAACUAGGAUAUGUAUUAGAGACCGAUAGUUCUACAUUACAUAGAAGCCUCGAUCUCAUGAGUGUCAUUGUGAAGCUACUUUCCUUAAAGGGAAGGGACACCCCUCAUAUCUAGUUCAUCGGUUCUUAGCUUAAGUCUAUUUCUUGAAUCACCUUUGAGUUAUCUUUUUUCUUAACUUAUAAUAGGUUAUAGGAGAUUAACUCAUUGUAUAAAUAUGAUCAUGAGAUCUUUUGGAUUAGAUGAGAAUUUUGUUUCAUUCUAACCCUUUGUUCGUAAGAUUAACAUAACAUAGUCAUCUUGUGUAAAGUAUACAAGAGAAUAUCUUAACUUGCAUUUAUCGUGUUCUUUUCAUUAUAUCACAAAUAACAUGUUCAUAUCCCAACAUAUACAUAUAGAAACAUCAUACAUACUUCCUUUACAUAGCAUCAUGAUUUAUAUUCUAACAUAAACAUUGUAGAGUAAGCACGACUAAUAAAGGCUUACCUCUUGCUUCCAAGAAACUUAUUCAAGAACUUACUCUAAAUUACAACAUUCAUAGCCAUGACAUAGUUAAAUACUCAAUAUAAUAAUAAAAAAUAACUCUUCAAAUUAUAUACAAGAUUAAUGCAUAAUGUAGAGUAAAGGGAAGGGCCAUUGAAGUGUUCAUUCUAGUGUUAGUUCCAAUCCCUAUGUAUUCAUAUCAUCAAGUAGUAGAUACAAUCAUAAGAAACCAUCAUCUAGAUAAGAACAUGAUUCACACGAAAUUAAAACAACUAACCAAAUACUCAUCAAUUCAUGUGGCAUAGAAUAUAUAAAACACUUACUUUUCAUUGAAAAUCAUAAAUCUAGAGUUAGGAAUAAAAUCGAUUUUGUAGAGUAAAAACCCUAGAAUUGAAGUUCUUGAAAACUUAUCUUUGGAAGGAACUCUUGGGGAAAGGAAUCCCAAGAUUGAAAAACCCAUACCUUAUAGAUGAAGAAUCCACGAAAAUUGGAUGAAAAGCUUGAAGUCUUCUUCUUCUUCCUUAGGCUCUUUUUGUUCUUUAAUGGGGUUUGAAAAAGAGAGCGGUCUUGAGAGAGAUGAGAUAAAACUUGUUUGAUCUGAUAUUGACAUGUAAAAGUGGUCUAAACCUGACCUAAUAUCUAUGUAUAGUCUCCCUAUGAAUUACCCAAAAGAAAUGAGUCUUUUCUAGAAGUUAAAUUACCAAAAAUACAACCUUAACUAUUCGUCGAAGUAGCUGCUCAUCGUGGGGACAAAUCUUACAUUUUUAUUAAACUUUGAGUUGAGGUAGUUAGGUGCAUGUCAUCCUCGUGUCGUGAGGAAGCCUCUCAAAUCUUGAGGUAGUGACCUGCGUGUCAGGCCCCGUCGCAUACCUUGCCUCCAAUUUUUCCUGCUCGCAGGCUUGAAGGUAGCCUGCCGAAACAUGUUUGAGUCCUCCCCAAGAAUUCUUCUUAUGUUCCUUUGUGUGUCGUUCCCAGACGUUUGGACCCUCUGUGCUACGUAUUACCUAUACAAGGUCUCUUUACAAGUUUUGUACUUCAUUUGAGACUUAGAAACCUUAAUCAUACAUAGGGACGUCAACUAGUUCUAAUUAGCUUGUUUCCGGACGUCAAGGUCUUUCUUUGAUGUUUUUCCUCUACGAUUUUUGAAAUGUGUUUAUGACAUUAAUAUAUGUCUGAAAACAUCAUUUUAAUCAAUAUUUAAUAGAUUAAUAUCUAUUCUAUGUCAUUGCAUUUCCGGAGUGUUACAUUACUCCGCCGUUAGGAACAUUCGUCACCGAAUGACACUAAAAUCUUUUGGACGGUAGAAAUAAACUCAAUACUAGCAGCCAAACAAAGAAACAACAUAACAUAAUAAUGAGUCAUAUCAUAUAGGAGUACUUCAUAACUCCUUUCAACACAUACCAUAACACUACACAGAGCACUCAAAUCAUGAUGCACAAACAUGUAAGAGCUUAAUAUUUCAUAACACAUAGUGAGGAAUUUCAUUCUCAACCUUAUCUAAACUCAAAAUGCAUCAAAGAGUUACCAUGCUAUCAUCCUUAUGAAGAAAACAACAAAACAUCAAAAUUUCAAGAAUACACAUGCAUACAUCUUUCAUGUAAGUGCAAGAAUAGAGUAUGAAGGCAUUUUCUUAAAACUCUAGUUGGUACUAUCUCUUACCAAAACUUGCAGCUAUCUACAAAAAUUCAAUUUCAUGGUUAUGCAUUACUUUCUCUAUUAAUAUUAAUGGCUAACCUUAAGGAGUAAAUAUGUGACGGUAUCAGGACCUCAUGUUGGCUUUAGCCUCCUAUGAUGCACCUUAACAAGGUGGUUCCUGCAGAAAAAUUUUGUAGAGACAACCUCCUUGUUUGUCAACUUCUUGACUUGGUGAUCUAGGAUCUCAACCUAAACCUCUUCAUAGGAGAGAUUCUCAACCACCCUAAACAUUCAAUAGGAAGAAUAGACACCGGGUCGCCUAUGAAUUUCUUGAGAAUAAAAACAUGAAACACUGAAUAAGCUGAAGCUAGCUCACUAGGUAGUUUCAAUUCAUAGGAAACAUUUCCAAACCGUUGUAAAACCUAUUAAGGACCAACAUACUAUGGACUUAACUUUCUCUUUUAUACAAAAUCUCAUCACCCUGUUCAUAGGUGAAAUCAUAAAGUAGAUAUGAUCACCUUUUUCAAAAUCAUGUUUCCAUAUGAUCUUCUUCCAUGUAUUUUGAAAGUUGAUCAUGAGUUGGCAUAUCAAUAACAUCAACAGUUACACAUUCUCUCGAGCAUCAAAGAUCAACAUCAACACAAGAUAUUCCAUUUAAUAUUCCAAUGUAAUUUUCUUGCUCCCCAAAAAAUGUGUCUCCAAUAGAAGGGUGAUUCUGAUCUUCGUCUAAACCAAAUAAAUCAACAUUGAAUUUAGUCCUUGCAUAUUAAACAUCUUUCUUAAUUGUAUCCUCCACAUAGAAAACUUGAUGCAUUUGAGAUGCUAGUACAAAUGGAUCUUCAUUAUUGCAUAAGUUAUUGAAUAACUCCAUAAUAUACAACCUCUCCAUUAGUGGAGUUUUGCUCUCUAGCAGUAGCAAAACUAUCAGUAGUUGUUGAUAAAGGCACUCCAUAGUGUUGAAUCUUACCUCGACUAUCUCGUUUCAUUUUAUGAAAUCGAUAUCCAUUGAUGACAUAUGUUGUAUACCUUUUUGCCGCAGAUUAGGCCCUUUAGAAAGUUUCUGUAAAUGUUCAGGCACUUCAACAAAUUUAACUUUCUUCAUAAACUAGUUGACAAACUCCUUACUAUGAUUCUUUGCUAUAAUCCAUGCAUUUGCACUACUAUGAUUGUCAAUUACGAUUUUAUGUUCCCUGCAAGUAAGCAUAAUUCAAAUUACCAUGUUUGAUAUUUCUAAUUAUAUAAAUUAUAUUGAAGUUUAUAAUAAAAGUGACAUAUCUUACAUAAUAAAGGUCUCCAUUUUUUCAUCUCCUGUAUUACACAAUACAUAUUGAGGUAUAUCAAGACAUACCUGGAGAUCUAUGUGAAAAUUAUUGCCUUUGUUUUUUUUAACCCUUCCAAUGGGAUGGCCAAAUUGUGGGAAUAUAGGUGAAAAAUUAUCUCCCUUUGUUUUCGUUACCUACUCAUCAUCUAAUUAGUAUCGACUGAAUUUUGUUUUCACCCCAGCAUGUAGGUAUCUGAAACAUAAAUUCACGCACUCUAGUGCAACAAAUCCCUCUAGUAUAGAUACUUCUAGAUGAAAUCAAUUACGAACAAUUCCCUUGAAUAAACAAAGGUUUAUUUAAGUGGAAUACAUGCAACGAAGAUGUGUCGGAUCACCAAACUUCACUUCAUUUACUAAAUGUAUGGGCGGAUGUACCAUCAUAUCAAAAAAGGAUGGAGGGAAAAUCUUUUCAAGUUCACAUAUAAUCUCAUUGAUUUCAGACUGCAUUUCAUCAAGAUAUGUUCUCUUUAUCACAUUACCACAUAUGACUCGAAAGAAGUACCCCCACCGAAUCAACGCUAUAGAAACUUUUUUAGGAAACACUUUUCUAACAACAACUUGGAGAAAGUAAUGCAUUAUGAAAUGAGCAUCCUUACUCAUGUAACCUGAUAUUUUCAACUCAUCCAGUUCCAUACGUCUUGAUAUGUUUGAGACACAACCUUUUAGUAAUUUUGCAUUUUUAAGAAUAGUGUAAAAUGACUUCUUCUCUUCUGGUUUCAUUGCAAAGCAACCUUCAGCCAAAUAAACUUUUCCAUUAUCAUCCUUUACUGAUUGAAGAUCCUUUCGUAUCCCCAAUUCUUGAAAGUUAUGUAGAGAAUUAACAUGAUCUUUUGACUUUCCAAUUACUUCCAACAAAGUCUUGAGCAAACAAUAACAAAUAUGUUUUUCUAUGUGCAUCACAUCAAGAUUGUGCCUCAGUUUGUUAUGUUCCCACUAUGGCAAUUCAAAAAAAAUUGUUCUUUUUUUCCAUGGACCCUCGCUGUCACGAUGCUUCCUCUUUUGCCUCUUUUCAAGAAUAUUAUUUAUCCAUGCAACUCUUCCAAUACUUCUGUGCCUGAGCAGGGAGUAGGUGCAGAUCUGUGAUCCUCUUUACCAUCAAAUGAUUUAUUAUCUCUUCGAAAUGGAUUAUCAAGAGGUAAGAACACCUGAUGACCCAUGUAACACAUCUUACGACUAUGCUUGAGAUAUUGAGAGCAUCUCCCAUGAUUACAAGUUGGGAAUGCCUUUAUUCCUUUUUAGAUCUAACCAGAGAGCAUAUCAUAGGCUGGAAAUCAUUUAUUGUCAACAAUAUGGCUGCACACAAUUGAAAUUUUUUUAGAAUCAACAUCAUAUGUUUCCAUCCCAAUUUCCUACAAUUCUUUCAACUCUGCAUUUAGUAGUUGAAGCUACACAUCAAUAUUGUUUCGUGGAGACGAUGGACCUGGAAUGAUCAUUAAUUAGAUCAUAUAUUCCGGUUUCUUGAAAGCCACGGUGAUAAAUUAUAAUUCAUUAACAUAACAGGGCAUGGGCUAUGAGAAAUACUUAUGGUUCAAAAUGGGUUGAAACCAUCACUUGAUAGACAAAAUCUAACGUUACGAGGAUCUCUAGUAAAAUCUUCGUGGAAUGAAUCAAAAUUCUUCUAGUCAUCCCCGUGAGCCGCAUGCCUUAUAUUUCCAUCUUUGGGUCGUUCAUUAUCAUGCAGCUGUUUCAGGACACAUGAAUUUUCCCUAAAGCUUAUGUUUUAAGGUAAGGUACCUUAAAAUAUUUCUAGGAAUUUUGGUGCUUUCAUUAAUCAAGGGAUCAUUAACAGUCUUCCAUCUAGACGAGCCACAAACAGAACAAUUAUUUCCUUCUCAUUUUCCUUCGAAUAUAACAUACAAUUAUUAGGGCAUGCUUGUAUUUUUUCAUAAUCAUGACCCAAAUCUUUCAUCACAUUUUUUGCUUUGUGAAAAGACUCGGGUAUAUUACCAAAUGGAAAUUCCUUUCUGAACACGUCAAGCCAGUCUUCAAAGGCCACAUUACUCAACCCCAAAAUAAUCUGCAACAUCUCUAAAAGUAUCUUAAAGUAGGCCAUUAAUAUUGUCACGCAUGUUGGAACCUUCCUUAUUAUGAUCUAGAUUAUUUCUCGAGGAAAUACUUUCCCUAUGAAAAAUCUAUGUGGUUUACCCUUGUACAAACCCAUAAACAAUUGAGUGAUCCUUUACAACAUUUCGUUGAUGCCACUUAAAAUUAGCACACUAUUUUUAAUGACACAAUAUUUCAUGUCCUUUGGAAGCUAGUUCAAAAGCUUUAUCAAGAAAGUUAUUCAAACCACUGAUAUAUUCAUUUGUGGAUCUCCGGAGACCCAUCCAACUUUUAUCUCCACUAUCCAUUUAAUUUUGAAUAUCGUAUAUGACACCACAAUCAAAUUACCAAGAAAUGACAUAUUAAAGAGAUUCUGAUCAGUGGCUAUAUCUUGGCUAUAUACAACAAAGUUAAACAAUUUUGACAAAUCUAAACACUUACAAUAUUAAAUGAAUUUCAUAUAGAAAAUACACAACAUAAUAUUAUUUUUUCAAGGAAAACAACAUCACACAACAAACUACGCAACACGCAUUGCAAGACUCCCCUUUGAGAGGAUGACUUACUGUUCAACCAGACAAAGUAUGUACUAAAUCACAGAUCUAGAAUAAACAAUGGUCAGAAUAUAAAACAUGAAUCAGAAAAAAAAAGAAUAAUACGAAAGUCACAUAAAAGGGAAAUCUUGUCCAACACUCUAAAUUAUCUCUACAUUUACAAAAUUUAAAGAGCACAUAUACGGGGGGAAAAUCACCUGAAAAUGAAUAUAAACAACACAAACAGAAGAGUUAAAAUAAAGAUUCAUACAAAAAUAAUUGGAAAUGAUGAGAACACAAAAAGGAAACUGAAUAUAAAAUUAAGAGACAAGUGAAUAUUACCUCUUUUUAAGCAGCGAAUAGCUUACUAUAGGAAAACAUUACUAUCUAUAACAUUUUACAUUUUAGAUAAUUAUAACUAAUCUAACUAGGCAAAUUUGAGUUAAUAUGUUGAGGGUGUUAUGUCUCUAAUUAAACUUCUAAAAAAAUUUAAAGGUAAAACAAAAGCAUGAAAAGACAAGAAAAUCAAAGUCAAUAAACUCACUAAUGAAACUAAGCAACACAAUAGUAAAACUUAAAAUUUAUAAGAAAAGACAAGAAGCAGCUUUAAAGAUUUUGGAUGUAUAGUUAAAUGUAAACAAGAAUAUCCAAAUAUUGAAGUAGAUUUAUAUAUACUAUUAACACUCAAAUCCGUACAAAAAUAAUACACACCACCACUACACAACUAUGUACAGAAGAACAUCUUUCUUGCUUUGGUACACUGGGAAUGAAAUGGACGAGGUACAGUUCACUAAGACAUAAAGUAACAUGCAUGAUCUAGUUAUCGAAGAUCUUAACUCAUAAGAAAAAAAAAUUAUCAUGAAUUUCUUUUUGUAGUAAAACCAUAAAGUGAAAAUUUUCCAACAUUCUGAUCUUACAAUACCAACCUUAAAUUUGAAAAACAUAGUCAUAUGGAAUGAUUUAACUGAAAAAUGAAUAAGCAAUAAUGAAAUGAGAUUAGUAAAAGAAAUCAGAACAUUACCAACUUUAACAUUACAUCAAAGUAAACAUAUUAAAGGACACUAAAUCAAUAAAUGUGCAGGUCACUCACAAAUCUGAGUAACUGAUUACGUUUAAAUAGCUUUAUAUUCCUUCCUCCCACAACACCUUGUGGAGAACAGGUAGAAAAAUGAUUAUUGUAUCUAAUAUACACACCUGCUUAACAAUCUAAAUGAGACGUUAUAUUGCUAUUUAUUUUCAUAACUUUAUAUGCCUAUAAUGAACACAAGUGGUGCAAGAUGCAUUAAUACAUCAUACUAUGAGAAGAAAUGCAAAAAGAUGUACUCCAUCAGGAUGUAUUAUAACAUUUAAACAAAAGAUACAUCUACAAUCCAAAUGUAGCUUCGAAUUACAUUUAAUUGAAGGUAAGAUAUUUCAAUAAUGGAAAUACUUACUUUUAAAGAAGGAAAAGGAUUCAGAAACACAUGUACAUCAAUGUUAAAAAAGAAAAUAAAAAUAAAAAGAGAAAUACGAACAUUACAUUUUUUUGAGCAGUGAGCUGAGCUUGAUGACCAAUUUGUAGUUUCUGCACUAAAAAAUUCAGGAAAGGAGAAAAGUAUAAACUUAAUCCUUGAAUUAUAUACUCGAAAGAUAGAAACAAAUCCCUUAAUGCUUAAAUUCAAGGUCUUUCAUAGUCGAAAAAUACAUAGAUAAGAACUAUCUUGCAGAUUGAAGAUUUUAUUCUUAGAAAUGUUUUGUCCAGUUCAAAAACUAAAUGUUUUUAAAUUAAUAAGAACUAUCAUGCAAAUUGAUAAUUUGAAACUCAUCUUUCAUAACAUUAACUCUUCCUAAAUUGAAAAUUUCCAUCUAAACAUUUUUGCGGAGAUUUCUCAAUCUUCACCAAUCUUAAAAAACUCACUCUAAUGCACAAAAAGAUGACAUUAUAACAUAAAAUCAAAGUAAAAACUACUUUAAAGAAAACCAAUUUAUAAGAACCCUAGCUUCUAAUAAAUUUCUAACAUUGAAGAAGAUGAAACACAACAUACCUGUAUCUGCAUAAAUGUAGAACUCAAAAACAAGAAGACCCAAAAAUUGCAGAUUCCUACAAGGAAAAGCAAUGAAAAAUGGUUAAAACCAUGGAUGAGCUUCCGUUCUUCAAAGAGAAGAGAGAGAAGCCUUCUACUUACGAGGGAUGUUCCAAUUAGUGAAGAAAAAUAUUGACCUAAUUAAUUUGAUAUAUUUACCUUUUUUUUAAUUUAACAAUUAAUUAAAAAACUUGCGGGUGUAGUGAAAUAAGUAAGGGAAAAUAAAUGGCGGAACCGUUGACAUAGAGAACCAAAUGUAAAAAUUUUCACAAACGUUGCAAUGUAGAGAUACUAUGGCAAUGGUUGUAGUACUAAUGCAACAAAUUAACUCUUAAAGUGUUUCAUCAGGUCCAGUUGUUUAUUGCAAAGGUUAUAACAGUUGUGAAUGAGUAUCUAUUGCCACAUAUAUUUAAUUGUUGCUAUAGGCAUGUUUUCUAGUAGUGCCUUCUCUAUUGGAGAUUUAACUUCUUUUGUGUAAAAACAUAUUGAAGACUUUUAUGGUUAGUAAACACAGCAACAUGCACACCAUACAAGUAGUGUCUCCAUAUUUUCAAGGCAAAAACUACAGCUGCUAACUCAAGGUCAUGAGUUGGAUAAUUCUUCUCAUGAACUUUGAGUUGCCUAUAAGCAUAAGCUAUCACCUUUCCAUGCUGCAUGAGGAAACAUCCCAAGCCUACUCAAGAAGCAUCACAAUACACUACAAAGCCUUCAUUACCCCUUUGUAAGGCCAACAUCAGAGCGGAGGUAAGCUUAUCUUUCAACUCUUCAAAUACUUUUUCACAAGCUUUCAACCACUCAAACUUCGCCUUCAUUUGGGUCAAAGCUGUCAAAAGAGAAGCAAUGGACAAAAAUCCAUCAACAAACCGUCUAUAAUACCUAGUAAGAUUCAAGAAACUUCUUAUGUUAGUGGUAAUCAAAUAUCUAGGCCAAUUUUUGACCGCAUUCGUCUUCUUCAGAUCAACCUCCAUACCAUCACCUGAGAUAAUAUGGCCAAUAAAAAAACCAACCUUAACAAAAAUUCACAAAUGCGAAAUUUGUUAUAAAGUGGGCGUUCUUUGAGGACUUACCUCAAGUGAUUCUCAUGAUCAUUUUCAUUAUUGGAGUGUAUUAAAAUAUCAUCAAUGAACACAAUCACAAAUGAGUCAAAGUAAUUUAUGAAAACUCAAUUCGUUAGGUACAUAAAUGCAGUCCGGGAAUUUGUGAACCCGAAAGACAUCACUUAAAAUAGAUCACUCUAUACUUUGCAUGAAAAUCUUGAAGAGUUUUCUUAAAAUAUCCUAAGGAGAACUGAGAGAAUUUUUCUAUUUUCUUACGUUUAUUCAUUGUUUUUCAAUCAUGAGUUUUUACUGGAUAAAUACGAGCCUAAGUCUUAGGAACUAAUUAUUUACUAAUUCAACAAAGGAUAAUUAACUUAAUUAAAUAUAUCCAUUAGCUAAUUACCAAAAUGCCUCUCCUACAUUCACUAAAAUUACGAGAUCAUUUGACGUAGCCAAAUUCUAAAAAUUUAUAAAGGGUCUUUGUUUUGACCAUAAAUUUUAAUUAAUUAAUUGUUGCUAAUUUAAUUAAUUAAGUGACCUAGAGUAAUUAUUAAAGUACCCCUAAGUCACUAGAACCAUAACCAUCCCCUUUGGACCAUCCUAGGUUAGUUAGCUUGUUACGUAAGUUAGUUAGAGCCUAGGAUUGGUGAGGAAGCUCAGCCCCACAUGGCUUAACCCGACGCUCGCCAGCCCUAUAACCGCCCUAAUUGAAUCGGUUGGGCUUGGUUUGUUGGUAUCUUGACUGGUAGCACAUGUGCUUGCAUAUGUGUUGCCGUGCACUUUCCAAACUAUGCACUCUGUUGUUGCACUUUGAAAGUUCACUUCUGUCUCAAGGAUCCUCCCUUUGUCCUUGAGCGCUCCUUAAUUUACAUGAUCAUUUUAAAGUAUCAUCUGUUAUGGUACCUAGGCUUGACACUUGGGUUCCUCAUACCUAAUGUGUGUGGGCUAAAAAAUUCAAAACUUUUAGCUUAGGGUCUUCAUUCCAGGUACAAUUCCUAAACAAUCUUUGAUUGGAGCAUUUGAACAUAAAAGUGUAUUUUAAUUUACUUGUUAAAACAUUGAAAUUGACUAACACCCUUAAGAAUAUUACUCAAUAUUGGGCAUUGGGAUGCCUAUGUACCCAAUACAUAUUCUUAAAACCUAAUAGACUCUUCACUAAACAAGUACAUUUUAUGGACUGUUACAACUACCCUUAUUCUACAAGAUAUGAAAGUAAAGCAUGCAUGAAGACAAUCCAUUCCCAAAAUAAUAUCGAAAUAAAAUAUGUACAGUUCUACUAAAUUAACAGGAGUAACUUUACUGGGAAGCAUCACAGAACAUUUCCCACAGACUCUUUUUACAACUAUAGAGUCACCCAUUGGGGUAAAAGCCAAAAAGGGUACAAUCAAAACAUCGGGAAGUACAUCAAACUUCCUAGCUACCAAAGGUGUAAUAAAAGAAUGAGUGGCACAUUGAUCAAGCAAUGGAUAAACAUUAACAAAGAGAACUUGCAACAUACCUGUCACAACGUUGGGAGAGUUCUCUUGUUCAGCGCUAGCCCUGAGUGCACAGAAACAGUUCCUUUUUGGAGAUUCAGAACUAGGACUGCUUGGUUGAACAUGGUCAUUACUAUUGCGUUGGAUUCUAAUAUUAGGACAAUCUAUUACAAUAUAACCAACUUUUCCACAACCAUAGUAACUAUUAGUCCAAACAAGAUAUUCACCCAUAUGUUUCUUACCACGCUUACCACAAGGUUGUUUCUCUUUUGAUGGAUCAACAUUUCUCCCCCAUUUAGGUUUAGGAUUAGAACCUCUAUCAUUGUGGUUCUUGGAGAAAUUAAAAGGAACCGGAUUUGAAAACCUCUUCUUGAACUUAGGCUUGUCUUGAACAUCUAGCCUACUCUUUGAAGAACUACUUUCUAAAGUUCUUGCCUUCUUAGCUUCCCUAUUCUUCUUCUUUAGACAACUAUCGUCAACCUUUUGAGCAUGAAAUCAACCUAGAAAGAUCCAUAUUUUUAUGAAGCAUGGCUGCACGACAUUCUUUUUCAAGUUGUUCGGACACGCAUGUUACUAAACGGCUCAUCUCAUCCCUAUCAUUAUAAACCAAAGAUGAAGAAUAUUUGGACAGCUGAAUGAAUUUCAAGGAGUCUUCCUUGACACUCAUACCACCUUGAUGAAGGUAGAUAAACUCCUCUACCUUAUCUUCCCUUUGCUCUAGUCGAAAAAAUCAAUCAAGAAAUGCCUUUUGAAGAUUUUCCAAGUCACGGGUCCACCUCCUAAAGCCCUACUAUCCCUUCAUGGAUUGUACCAUGUCUUAGCCACGUUCUUAAGUUGAUAUGCAUCAAGUUCAGCCUUCUCAGUAGUACUAACCCUCAUAGCAAAUAGAAUCUUGUAGAGCUCAUCAAGGAAGUGUUGGGGGUCUUCAUCAACCUUCAAUUCGGAAAACCUAGGAGGAUUCAUCCUUAUAAAAUCUCUCAAAUGGCUAGCCAUAGUUCUAAAAUGUUAGUUCUUUUCAGGAACAACCUCCUUGUCAGUUGUUUCAUAAUGGCAUGAGCUUGGGUGGUGAUGGCUUGGACCAUUUGAAACAUAGCAUCCCUCACCUCACUAUCCAACAUAGUCGAAGUAUUCACAGAAACUAGGUCGUUUGCAGUAGCUUGCACUUGGGGAGCAUUUCGAUUGCCUUAGAGAUUAGCUCCCGCAUUCACAAUCUCAUGCCGUACUCUCCUCACGGCAGUCCUUCUUGUGUUCAUAGCCUAAAACCACAAGAAAGGGAUUAUAUUCUAAAUGACACAUAGUGUCAAAACUCUAAAGUGACGACAUAGGAGUAUCAAGAAAGAUAGAAGUUUCAUAGUCAUGACGUAGCCUCUCAUCCAUAAUUGUUGAUCUCUUCACAACAAUGAACAAGAUAUUAUGUAACGUGGAUUAUUAUAAUAUUGAUUCUAAGGGUAUUUAAUAUCAUGAUAUGAUACCUAGUUUGUCACAAACAGAGUAGCACACCCUAGAUAAGAGGAGCGUCGUCGUCCUAUCAUAGGACUCAGAAAAGCCCUUAGCAUUCGUAAAAACAUGUGAUCAAUAAAAAUUGCAGAACAUUAAAACUUUUACAUUCUAUUUUAUGCAUACAUAGAGGUCAUACUUAACAUUCUUAAAGACAUACUAUAUUUUAAAAAUCCAUCUAACAUAUAUAAAACCAUCUAAAUAGUGCAAAUAUGGACUUAGCCAAUAUAUAGACAAUAUGUCAUAUAGGCCUUAAUACAAAAGAAUCGAAAGAAACAUAAUUGAAAAUAGAAUAUCCGCAAAACAACUAAGUCUUCAUAAGUUGGAAUAUGAAAGAUAGCAUCCCCAAACAUGAGGACCUACCAAGACUUGGAGAAAUAGUACAUAGAUUCUUCAAAUCGACCUCGUUAAGUCUCAAUGGCUGGAACCUACAGUUGUAGUAAUAUAUAGUAAUGGGGUUAGUACGCCAUACGUUAUAAGUAUGAGUAUAUGCACAUAACAUAUAAGGACAUGCAUGAAAAAGGAUAAUUUAUCAUCUCUAUAGAAAAACACGCUAUGUCAUAUGAAUUUUUUCAAUGCACGUACCAUAUAACUUAUAAAAGUUAAAGAUUUCAUCAACUUAAAGAGUGAUCAUAAUUAAAGACAUAUCAUGUUAACAUUUCAUAUUCAAUAUAUCAUAUAAAGAAACCAUAAAAAACACCUACAAACGAUCUUAUCCCCAACCUACAAAUGAAAUGGUCAUGCGAAUACUAUAACCCCACAUAACCAAGUAGAUAAGAUAGGAGACCAUAUGUAAAGCUUUGCUUCAUAUAACUUAUAACAAAAGUAGUCGUCACUUCAUAUAGCAAUAUAACCCAAUAACAUAUUCAUCAUAAUAAAAAACAUCAUAUAACAGUAAUAUCACGUAUCAUAGAAAUAUAUCUUUCAUGUUAUAAUAUUACAUAAGAACAAUCUCCUAGGAUUUCCCUAAGAGUCAACUUGUGCAAUGUCUAGGUAGAAUAUCAUACCCCUACCUCUACUAAGUAGAUUGUUAAGUCACCCUAGUCAACUUCAUUAACAUGUCUUUCAUUUUAUCAUGAGGGAACAAUAACUUUAACCGGCAUAGACCAUGUGAGUUAAACAUGGAAUAUGGUGUCAUAAAACCCCACACUGAAAGAAGGUGGUCUACUGGCCAAAGUAGAACCUAACAUGACAUAGCUUUCUAGGUGGAUCCACUAGCUAGUAUCUUAUUGUGGCAACAUAGUUCAAGAACUAGGAGAUGUAUUUGAGAUCCAUAUUUCCACAUUACAUGGAAGACUCAAUCUCAUAAGAGUCAUGGUGAACCUGCCUUCCAACUAGGGAAAGGACACCCCUCAUAUCUAGUUCAUCGGUUCUUAGAUGAAGUGCCUUUCUUGAUAAUCUUUUAGUUUUAUCUUAUCAUAACUUAUUAUAGGUUAUGGGAUAUUAAAUCCUUCUAUAAACAUGGUCAUGAGAUAUUUUGGGAUUACAUGAGAAUUUCCUUUCAUUGUAACCCUUAAUUUAUGAAAUUAACAAAACAUAGUCAUCUUUUUUAAAGCAUCCAAGAGAAUAUCGACUUGCAUUUAUCAUAUUCUUUUCAUGAUCUCACAAAUAACAUGUUCAUAUCCUAACAUAUACACAUAGCAACAUCAUAGAUACUUCCAUUACAUAGCAUAAUGAUUUAUAGGCUAACAGAAACAUUGUAGAGUAAUGACGCAUUUAGAAGACUUACCUUUUGCUACCAAGAACCUUAUUCAAGAACUUAUGUUCAAAUUACAAUAUUCAUAACAAUAACAUAGUGAAAUACUCAAUAGAAUAAUCAAUAACUACUCUUCAAAUCAUAUAUAAGAUCAAUGCAAAAUGUAGGGUAAAGGAAAGACUCAUUUAAGAGUUCAUUCUGGUCUUUGUUUCGAUCUCUAUGAUCAUAUUAUCAAUUAGUAGAAACUAUCAUACGAAACCUCAUCUAGAUAAGAACAUGCUUCACAUGAAAUUCAAACCUAACUAACCACACACUCAUCAAAUUGUCUUAAAUAGACCAUACAAAACACAUACUAUACAUCGAAAAUCAUAAAUGUAAAGUUAGGAAGAAAAUCUUUUUUGUUGAGUAAAAAUCCUAGACAUGGUAAAGGAAUCCAAAGAUUGAAAAAAACAUACCUUAUAUAUGAAGAAUCCACGAAAAUUGAAUGAACAGAUUGUAGUCGUCGUCUUCUUCCUUAAGCUUAUCUUGUUCUUCAAUGGGGUUUUUAAAAGAGAACAUUCUUGAGAGAGAUGAGAGUAAAAAAAAAAUUCAUCUCAUUUGGAACGUGUAAAAGUUCUCUAAAACUGACCUAAUAUCCAUAUAUAGGCGUCAAGUGAAUUACACAAAAGACACUCCACUUAAAUGAGUGUUUUCAUGAAGUUAAAUUAUUAAAAGUAAAUUUUUUACAAUUAUGGGAAGUAGUUGUGCGUCGCAGAGCCGAAUCCCGUCAUUUUGUAUUGAAUUUUGGGUUGAGGCAGUGAAGAUCAUGUGAGACUCGCGUUUCGAGGCUUCCUCUAAAAUCAUGAGGGAGUGACCGCAUUUUAGGCUCACGUCGCACGCCUUGCCUCCAAUUCUACCUGCUCGCAGGCUGCCAGGCUGCCUGUCCUCCCAUGUUUGGGUCCUCCACAAGGACCCUUAGGAUGGUCCUUAGGGUGUCCUUGCCAGAUAUUUGGACCCUUUGUAAUAAAUACUACCUAUCCAAGGUCUCUUUAGAAGUUUUGGACUUCAUUUAGCACUUCGAAACCUUCACCAUAUAUAGGGAUGUCAACUAGUUCGAAUUUGCUUGUUUCCGGACUUUAAGGUCCUUCUUAGUCAUUUUUUCUCAAUCAUUUCCAAAUGUGUUUUUUCACAUUAAUACAUGUGUGGAAAAAUCAUUUUAAAUAUUAUUUAAUGUAUUAACCUCAAGUCUAAUUCAUGGUAUUUCCAUAGUGUUACACAAUUCAUUUAAAUAAAAUUGAAGGGACGAGAUUAUGCCACAAGAAAAGAGGGAGUAAUUUUCAAUCAUCUCCUCAUGCUCUCUUCAUCCUCUAAAGUUCUCCUCUUCUCAUAUAAAUCUAGUCUUCUUCUCUCUUUUUCUUCUUAUGCAGAUCAUGUCUCAAAUACGGAGCUCAUGACAAAUAGUUUCUUUUUCGAGAUAGAAUUUCCGUGGUCAAUUGAUUAUCAUAUCUCUGUUUUUGAUAAAUCACAACAAAGUCCCAAAAAAGGUGUUGAGUUGAUUGAUAAUUAUUGAAAGUGAAUUUUGAUCUUGAUUGAGAUCAUAAAAAUUAUUAUAGAGUAUUAAUUGCUGACAUAUAGGUAUCAGAAAUGGCACAAGGGACUUCCUAGAAGGUAAUUGAGGGCUAGCUCACUCGUCAUGAAGAAAUUUUGACAUAUAUGAUGAGUUCUCAAGAAGAGGCACACAAUACACAAGUUAGAAUUCAAGGCAAGUUUGAGUUCAAUCUAGAUAGGUUUGGUGCAUUAGAAAAUGCUUCUGCUGGUUAAAUCAUUAGAGGAGGUUUACUUCCAAUUCAUGCUCAAGAUACUAGAAAUUGGCCCCAGCAACCUCCUAUCCUGCUACCGAAAUGGAAAUUUCCCUCUUUUGAUGGUGAGGAACCUAAAGUAUGGAUCGGAAAAUGUGAGAAAUAGUUUUUUCAACAUAUGAUACUUUAUGAAUAAAAGGUGAAAUCUGCUGUUUUUUAUUUGAAUAGAUUGGUUGAGGUAUGCUAUUGGUCGUUGGAGUUGACUAGAGGAAUAGUGACAUGGAUAGAGUUCAAGGAGGAAUUGAUAAGUAAUUUUGGUGACAUAUUGGUGGAAGAUGUAGGUGAGGAAUUUGAUAAAUUGAGACUAGGUUUUGUUUAUUAAUUCUUUGGGAUAUUUAAAGACCUUAAGGUAUUCUCGUCCUAAAUCUUGCACUAAAUGAACUCACUUCCUAUCUAGUUUCAUAGGAGUACAGAGAAAGGAAAUAGGUUUGUUGUUAAGUUUUUAAAUGCAGGUAUAUAUUUUGAAGCUUCUAAAAAGAGGAACGAGACAUGUACUUGAUUUGCUCAGCAUGUGACUAAUGUAAUUGUUAAUAGAGGGUCUGCUAACGCUACUCUGAAGAAUACUAGAUUCUGACUAAUGUCAAAGUUGUAUGAGUAUUGGAAUACCAUCAAUUUGUGCAUUAGGUGUGGAGAAAAGUAUGGGACUAUUCAUGUAUGCAUAAGGAGGCAACUAAAUUAUUUGAAGGGUAAAUAGAGGCUAAAAUUAAUAAGAUUGAAAUUAAAACUUCCCAACAAAAAGAUGAACCAAUUGGGGCGAUGAUAGAAGGAGUAAUAGAAUAGGAGAUUCACCAAGUUGUGUGCCUGAAUGCUUUGAUAGGUCAUAAUUAAUGUGAAAACACUAUUCUAGUGGGUUGUAUUGUGAAGAAGAGGAGGCUAUCUUAUUGAUUUAUUGUGGUGGGACUCACAGAUCAAUAGAUAAGCACACCACCCAAGUUACAUGGAAUCAAUCCAGUCAUUGCCCUCCUAUGAGAUUGGCCGUGGCUGAUGGCAACUAUGUUAUGUGCACAUCCCAUUGCAAAAGUGUUUGUACAAAAUUUAAGGGCAAACAAUUAUGGAAAACCUCCUUAUGAUUCUUUUAAUAGGUUGUGAUAUGGUGCUUGGUAAUGACUGGAAAAAAAAGCAUAACCUCACCAUGUUUGAUCACGAGAGAAAAUGUGUCAGUAUUCGAAGGAAGCCUAACAAACUAGUGUUGACAGCUCUAGUACAAAGCACUUUUCAAUAUGCUCGGUAGUGGUUCCAUGAGUCAAAUGUUGAAGAAAGUACAUACUCUUAUUUAUCACUUGUUCAUGAUGAGCACGAUGUCGAAUGCGAGUAAAGACCCCCUUGAUGUUGUAGUAAACGAGAUGAUAGAUUAGUAUGUCGAGGUAAUUGCUAAACCUAAAUCCCUACAACAUAUAAGAUCAUUAGAUUCUGUUAUUCCACUAAAGCCUAGGACAAUGACAAUUAGUUUCAAACUUUAUAGAUUUAAGUAUCAUUAGAAAGAUGAGUUAGAGAAACAAGUAAAGGGAUGCUUACUGGUGGAGUGAUUAAACCUAGUAAAUCUGCCUUCUCUUAGCCAGCCUUACUAGUCAAGAAGAAGGACAUUACUUGGAGAUAUAUUAUAUAUAUCUCUCAUUCUAUAUUUAUUUCAAAUUCUAAUUGUUUAAUGGAAUGGUUAGUUAUAACUAAUGAGACAUUCCUCGGCUUUCAGGGGAAAGUGAAGAUAAAAAACAAGAAUCGAUCGUUCAAGUAUUCCAAAUUGAAUGGCAAAAUGACAGGAAGCGAGACAUAUAGAUCGGGUAUAUAUCCAUCUAUAUUGAAUUGCGGAUUCCGAAAUGAUAAAAUCAUUUUUGAUUGGACAAAAAAAGGGUCUCCUAUAGAAGAUAGUUAAUAAAAUCAAAAAGGAGAAAACGCGUUUUCGAGAUAGGAAUCGGUAUCUAAUGAAUUCAAUGGUUCCAGUAUAAAUGAAAGAAAAAUAAAAAGGAAUGAAAUCACAACGAGAUCCUAAUCUCAAAACAAAAAGAAAGGGGGAUAUGGCAAAAUUGGUAGACGCUACGGACUUAAUUGGAUUGAGCCUUGGUAUGGAAACUUACUAAGUGAUCACUUUCAAAUUCAGAGAAACCCUGGAAUUAACAAAAAUGGGCAAUCCUAAGCCAAAUCCUGUUUUCUGAAAACAAACCAAGGUUCAGAAAAAAAGGAUAGGUGCAGAGACUCAAUGGAAGCUAUUCUAACAAAUGGAGUUAAAUGCGUUCGUAGAGGACUCUUUACAUCGAAACUUCAGAAAGAAAAAGAAUGAAGUAAAGGAUAAACGUAUAUACAUACGUAUUGAAUACUAUAUCAAAUGAUUAAUGACGACCCGAAUCCGUAGUUUUUCUAUAAAAAAUCGAAGAAUUGGUGUGAAUCCAUUCUACAUUGAAGAAAGAAUCGAAUAUUCAUUGAUCAAAUCAUUCACUCCAUAGUCUGAUAGAUCUUUUGAAGAACUGAUUAAUCGGACGAGAAUAAAGAUAGAGUCCCGUUCUACAUGUCAAUACCGGCAACAAUGAAAUUUAUAGUAAAAGGAAAAUCCGUCGACUUUAAAAAUCGUGAGGGUUCAAGUCCCUCUAUCCCCAAAAAGACUAUUUAACUCCCCAACUAUUUAUCCGACCCCCUUUCCUUAGCGGUUCCAAAUUCCUUAUCUUUCUCAUUCACUCUAUUCUUUUAGAAAUGGAUUUUUUUUCUAAGCGUAAAUGGCUUUCUCUUAUCACAAUUUGAUAUCUAUGAUACACAUAGAAAUGAACAUCUUUGAGCAAGGAAUCCCUAGUUGAAUGAUUCCCGAUCAAUACAAUAUCAUUACUCAUACUGAAACUUACAAAGUCAUCUUUUUGAAGAUCGAAGAAAUCCCCCGGCUUUGAUAAAAAUUUUUAAUCGACUUUUGUCCUUUUAAUUGACAUAGACCCCAGUUAUAUGAUAAAAUGAGGAUACUACGGAAAGGACUCUAAAUCCUCAUGUUAGAGGUUCCAAUCGAG